GCCCGCUUGGCUCAGUGGUAGAGCGUGUCAACAGUGCCGUCCCCUAAGAAUUCCUUAAGAGCAGCGUCUGCUUAAUGGCAAGAUCAUCGGUUCGACUCCGAUAGUGGGUA